rnacentral:rRNA from 1 species
AUUGAACGCUGGCGGCAGGCCUAACACAUGCAAGUCGAGCGGAUGAAGGGAGCUUGCUCCUGGAUUCAGCGGCGGACGGGUGAGUAAUGCCUAGGAAUCUGCCUGGUAGUGGGGGAUAACGUCCGGAAACGGGCGCUAAUACCGCAUACGUCCUGAGGGAGAAAGUGGGGGAUCUUCGGACCUCACGCUAUCAGAUGAGCCUAGGUCGGAUUAGCUAGUUGGUGGGGUAAAGGCCUACCAAGGCGACGAUCCGUAACUGGUCUGAGAGGAUGAUCAGUCACACUGGAACUGAGACACGGUCCAGACUCCUACGGGAGGCAGCAGUGGGGAAUAUUGGACAAAGGGCGAAAGCCUGAUCCAGCCAUGCCGCGUGUGUGAAGAAGGCCUUCGGAUUGUAAAGCACUUUAAGUUGGGAGGAAGGGCAGUAAGUUAAUACCUUGCUGUUUUGACGUUACCAACAGAAUAAGCACCGGCUAACUUCGUG